GACGAACGCUGGCGGCGUGCUUAACACAUGCAAGUCGAACGGAAAGGCCCUGCUUUUGUGGGGUGCUCGAUUGGCGAACGGGUGAGUAACACGUGAGUAACCCGCCCUUAACUUUGGGAUAACUUCAGGAAACAGGGGCUAAUACCGGGUAGGAUCUCCUGCUGCAUGGGGGGGGUUGGAAAGUUUCGGCGGUUGGGGAUGGACUCGCGGCUUAUCAGCUUGUUGGUGGGGUAGUGGCUUACCAAGGCUUUGACGGGUAGCCGGCCUGAGAGGGUGACCGGCGACAUUGGGACUGAGAGACGGAGCAGACUCCUACGGGAGGCAGAAGUGGGGAAUAUUGCGCAAUGGGGGGGAGCGUGAUGCGGCAACGUCGCGUGCGGGAUGCCGGCCUUCGGGGUGUAAACCGCUUUCGCCGGUGACGAAGCGUGAGUGACGGUAAUGGGUCAAGAAGCACCGGCUAACUACGUG
rnacentral:rRNA from 1 species